AAAUAAGGCACUGUUGCCAGGGCCUGAGCCCAGCAGGAAAAGGGUGUGUGCAGAGGGAGGGCCUCGGGUCCUGCUGCUCCUCCUGGACUCCUUCAUCCCAAUCCCUUCACAUCCUUCUCUGACAAGGACUCCCACGUCCCUCCCCGGCUAACCUGGAUCCUGCUCAACCCAACACCUGCCUUCUCUCGGUCCCUGGGUUCCCGCAGGCCUUGGGGCCCCACAGUCAUAUCUGCUGUUCCUGCAGCAGAGAGGUUGUACUGGGUUGAGAGAGAGGCCUCAGAAUCAAGACCUUGUCUCCUGCCACAGUUUCCCUGGUGAAGCUCCCAGGCUGAGCACAAACUUCCAGGUCGAGCACAGAAGUUUCGACCUGGAAACUUCAGCCCUCAGAGAGGAGGUGGCACUAA
rnacentral:lncRNA from 1 species